GUUUGAGCCCCCUGGGCGAGGGAGGGAAUGGCCGGGUGUCUGGGGCAGCCCAGACGUUCCCGAUGUGACCGUCUGUUCAAAGUACAGUGAAUACAGCACUGUAGGUCCUGUCUGGAUUAGACAGCGUGUGCCUGGCUUGCCUCUGUAAGAAGGCAUGUAUUGUAACGCAAGUAACUUCUUACUCGACAAGAAGUAAACGAAGACAAGGAGAUUAAAUGUUCGAGUGAAUAUUGAGCUUCUGUCAAUUUCUAAUCCUGUUCAUAAAAAGGACUUAGCCGUUCGAUUGACUGAUGAUACUGAUCCUUUUUUCCUUUAUAA